rnacentral:rRNA from 2 species
UGGGGAAUAUUGCACAAUGGGGGAAACCCUGAUGCAGCGACGCCGCGUGAGUGAAGAAGUAUUUCGGUAUGUAAAGCUCUAUCAGCAAGGAAGAUAAUGACGGUACUUGACUAAGAAGCCCAGGCUAACUACGUGCCAGCAGCCGCGGUAAUACGUAGGGGGCAAGCGUUAUCCGGAUUUACUGGGUGUAAAGGGAGCGUAGGUGGUAUGGUAAGUCAGAUGUGAAAGCCCAGGGCUCAACCCUGGGAUUGCAUUUGAAACUGCCAAACUAGAGUGCAGGAGAGGUAAGUGGAAUUCCUAGUGUAGCGGUGAAAUGCGUAGAUAUUAGGAGGAACACCAGUGGCGAAGGCGGCUUGCUGGACGAUAACUGACGCUGAGGCGCGAAAGCGUGGGGAGCAAACAGG